GUCCCUAUCGAUUAGUGGUUAAAUCAUCACGUUGUGGCCGUCUUGCGCCUUACACUUCUCCGUGAAGCCGCCGGCUCGACUCCGGCUAGGGACA